rnacentral:rRNA from 1 species
AUACGUAGGUGACAAGCGUUAUCCGGAUUUACUGGGCGUAAAGGGCGUGUAGGCGGUCUUGCAAGUCAGAAGUGAAAUUCCUGAGCUCAACUCGGGCGCUGCUUCUGAAACUGCAGGACUUGAGUGCUGGAGGGGAUAGCGGAAUUCCUAGUGGAGCGGUAAAAUGCGCAGAUAUUAGGAAGAACACCGGUGGCGAAGGCGGCUAUCUGGACAGUAACUGACACUGAGGCGCGAAAGCGUGGGGAGCAAACAGGAUUAGAUACCCUGGUAGUCCACACUGUAAACGGAGAGUGCUAGGUGUAGGGGGUAUCGCCCCCGUCUGUGCCGCAGUCAACACAAUAAGCAUUCAGCCUGGGGAGUACGGCCGCAAGGUUGAAACUCAAAUGAAUUGACGGGG